rnacentral:rRNA from 1 species
AUGGCUUACCAUCUACGAUCGGCAAGCACGCCUUCGAGGCCUCGCUCAAACAAAACUGAAGUCGAGCAGCAGCUCCAGAGCCUGAGCACAACCAUCUCUUCGCCCUCGGCGACCAUUGAUACGAUGUGUGAUGGCUUGAGGAGGCUCGGUGACAUCUACAGCUGCAUCGAGAAGAUGAUGUGCACACCAAGCAGCCAAGUCAGCCUUUGCCAGACCCUUCAAGGGCGGCAGUGGAGGCGGAGCUUGGACGAGCUACUGUUGGCUCUCAGGAGAGGAGAAGGUGUGUCUUCUCAAGUCAAGGCAUAUGUCCGGCUAGUAAACAAGGUGCAAAAACAGUUCAAGAAGAUCAGCAAGAAAACUACUUCCGACAAGAACGGCUCUAGGGUGGUGAUGCUAAUGGCAGAAGCAAGAGAGAUCACCAUGUCACUGCUCGAAUCCACGUCCUCAAUCUUGUCGAAGCAAGUUGAGAUGCCCAAGUGGUCUCUUGCCUCCAAAACAUUCCAGAGGAGCAAAGUUGUGUGCCAAGAGGAGCAAUUGCAGGCACUGGAGCACACGCGACACAGGACCCAUGUCGGGAGCCUGAAGCUGGGCAACCUCCAUAUCUCUUUUGUCUCCGGCGAGAUACCCUCAAGCUCCGAACUCCCUCUCUGUACUGUCUUCCAUGACCUCAGACACAAAGGAUGCGCCGACAGGUUGAGCUCCGCAACCACCGGCUCCAAGGAAAAGCCACCACGGCAGAGGUCGGCAGUAAGGAGGCCAAAGAGGAUGGUGGAGGGGUCGCGAGCCCGCUCCCGUGACCCGCUCCCACCCCCCAAACCCUUGCCGCCGCCGCCACCUCCCCUGCCCAUCUCCGACGGGAUCCGGCCGCCCUCGCCGGCACGCGGCCCGGAUCCGCUCCCCCCUCCCCCGCCCUCCCUUCUCCGCCCCUCCUUCCGCCCUCGCGUCGCCUCCCCGGGAGGCAGCCAGGGCGGCCCCCGCACCUCUCCUCUCAGCUUCGCCUCCUCUUCCUCUCCCCUGCCGUCGCCGGCGGGCACCCCCGGCUCCGGCCCGGGGGGUGCCGGCGGCGGCAGGAUCUCCUCUCCCCGCGCACGCGGUGGCCGAUGUCGUGCCCUCGGCCCAGAUCUGGGCCCGACGGGCCCCAUCUGGGUCCUAGCGGGCCGGCCCCUGGCGUGGCCUCGUUGUCUGCGGCGCGGUGAGGAGGAGGAGCGGCUCGGAUAUGGGGCGUCGGCGCCGAUGGCGUGCCGGCAGCAGCGCGAAGGCAGGAGCUCUACGGGCCCACGAGGGCUCGGCCGGGCCUGUGGGCCCACGGGCCUGGUGUGCUCCUGCUAUUGCGUCCGAACGGCUACCGUCGCUGACGGUGGAGGUGGGGCCCUCCCGCGUGCCGACGGUGCUGAUGCCCUAGUCCCGGUUCUGAUUCUUCGUCACGCUGUCCUCACUUCACGGUGCCGUGCGCCCGAGGUGCGGGUUGGGAUCGGAGGAAACCCCUGUCGGCAUGGGCGACACCGGCGCAGUGGCGCCUGUGGGUGCCACCUGACCUUCCGGGAGGGCGUCGGGGGCUACCCUUCCUCUCGCCUCGUCGUGUACCGGGGGAAACCCUUGGCAGCAGCGUCGCCAUCAUCGCGAUCCUUCUUGGAGGUGUUGAUAGGUGCCGGCGCUUCGGAGUCUUGGAGCCUAGCGGAAGAUCUCGGUGGGCGCUGCGAUUGCGAGGCUUCUUCGUUUUUGUUGAUCCGCCGUAUACAUUUCUCCUAUAUGCACCAAGCAUGGGUCAUCGAUCAGUUUACACCCUGUCCCGUCCCCCGUGUCGCCCACCCCGCAGGCGACCCAGGCGGAACCCUAGCCGCCAGGCGAACUCCCUCCUCAUCAGACCUUCCUCCCAUCGCCGCCACCAGCAGGCGCCGCCGGGCAAAGCCCGUGCAGCGGCGGCGGCGGGGCACUCCGAUUCUCCUUCUCACGGUGCUCGGGCGUUGCGGGGUGUCCGUCGUGGGAGCACGUGGUCGCCGUGACGAGCUUGCGCUGGGGCUGCGCGAUAAGCGUGUACGACACGCGAGAACGCGUGUCGUGCGCGGACGCGGGCGUGGGGAUCUGGCUCUCAUGGCGCAGCGGCGGCUGGCAGAUCGAAUCUCGAGGCGGCGGCCUCGACCGGUGGUGCGCGGUGCGGCCUGCCUGGCGGGCGGCACCCGCGGGUGCAGAUGGGGGCCCUUCCACGGCUGUGUGGGCGCCGUGGAGGCAGCGGCGCUGCGGCGGCUUCUCGAUGGCCGACCGGAGUUCCAUGGGAGGCGUCAUCUCCGACUCGAUCUAUUCUGGUUCGUGCUGGCUGCGGUACUUAGCGACUACGGUCGACGCCAGUACUACCUGGACGGAUCUGGCGGUCAAGAAUCUGCAUCCACUUACAUGGCUGCCCUUUUGUUGUGGGACUGCUGA